CCACAAAUUGCGCAUACCCAAUUCCAAAAUCCAAAAUCGAAGCAGCCAAACGCCCAAGCCUUGAAACCUAAAUUCCUAAUUGCCUGUCUGCCGCCACAGCGCCACUAAAUUCCCCCUCUUCUGCCGUUCAACUCCAGACUCCUUGGAAAAUUAACGAUCUCCAGACUCCGGCCAGAUUUAUCUCGUUUCCCAGCGGUGACUCUUUAUAGUUUGAUUGAUUAAAAAAACAAGUAGAAGGACAAAUCUUAUUGAAUGAUGAUGAAAUAUUUGAAGAGGUCCUUGGUCCAGAGAAAAAUGACUAUUUGCGUGCUUAUGGUCCAAGAAAAAGUAUCACUGAAUAUUUUGGAAGUAGACCAAUUAAAGCACAACUUAUGAAACAAGUACAAACAACAAGGAAGGAAUCUAAUGAAAGGCUGAAGGAGGCAAAGAGGAAGCAAAUGAGAAAUUAUAAGAAGUAAAAGGCAAAUGGAGGAGAUGAAUAGACGAUGGGAAGAGAAGUUCAAGAUGAUGCUUACAACUUAAGGUCAACAAUCUUCAACAAAUAACCAAAUCUCUUUGGAUGAAAUUGUUGGUGGAAAUUCUUAAAUGGUCAAGAAAGGUUCAUAUAACAUUGAAGCAUUCAUAUUUUGUAAAAAAAUUAGUUGAUAACAUUUUUAAUUACUAAGAUGAAAGAUUUUACGAGUAGACAAUUAUUUGGUUAAAAAUGACUUUAUUAAUGUUUUAUUUUUUA